rnacentral:pre_miRNA from 1 species
UGUAUACUUCCUCCGUCUCAAAAUUCUUGUCUUAAAUUUGUCUAUAUAUGAAUGUAUCUAGUCACGUUUUAGUAUUUACAUACAUCCAUUUUUAGACAAAUUUAAGACAAGAAUUUUA